GCCGAAUUAAGGUGAAACCGCGAAAGGCUCAUUAAAUCAGCUAUGGUUCCUUAGAUGGUACGUACAGUUACUUGGAUAACUGUGGCAAUUCUAGAGCUAAUACAUGCAAACCGAGUCUAGACCGCUUCGCAGGCGGAAYGGACGUUUUUAUUAGAUCAAAACCAAUCGGACUUUCCGAGGGCCGUCACGACUUGGUGACUCUGAAUAACUUUGGGCUGAUCGCACGGUCCCGCACCGGCGACGCAUCUUUCAAAUGUCUGACUUAUCACUUUCGAUGGUAGGCUCUGCGCCUACCAUGGUCGUAACGGGUAACGGGGAAUCAGGGUUCGAUUCCGGAGAGGGAGCCUGAGAAACGGCUACCACAUCCAAGGAAGGCAGCAGGCGCGCAAAUUACCCACUCCCGGCACGGGGAGGUAGUGACGAAAAAUAACGAUGCAGAACUCUUUCCGAGGCUCUGCAAUCGGAAUGAGUACACUCUAAAUCAUUNNNNNNNNNNNNNNNNNNNNNNNNNNNNGUUAGAGGUGAAAUUCUUGGAUCGUCGCAAGACUGACCUAAGCGAAAGCAUUUGCCAAGGAUGCUUCCUUUAAUCAAGAACGAAAGUUAGAGGUUCGAAGGCGAUCAGAUACCGCCCUAGUUCUAACCGUAAACGAUGCCAGCUAGCGAUCCGUCGAAGUUCCUCCGAUGACUCGACGGGCAGCUUCCGGGAAACCAAAGCUUUUAGGUUCCGGGGGAAGUAUGGUUGCAAAGCUGAAACUUAAAGGAAUUGACGGAAGGGCACCACCAGGAGUGGA
rnacentral:rRNA from 1 species